rnacentral:rRNA from 1 species
UUCCGGUUGAUCCUGCCGGACCCCACUGCUAUCGGGAUGGGACUAAGACAUGCUAGUCGUGCGUCUCCAAGCCACGGUGGAGGCGCGGCGCACAGCUCAGUAACACGUGGCUAACCUACCCUUGGGACGGGGACAACCCCGGGAAACUGGGGCUAAUCCCCGAUAGGUGAGGACUCCUGGAAUGGAUCCUUGCCGAAAGGGCGUCUAGACCACGCUUUUAGGCGCUGCCCAAGGAUGGGGCCGCGGCCGAUCAGGUUGUUGGUGAGGUAACGGCUCACCAAGCCUAAGACCGGUACGGGCCGUGAGAGCGGGAGCCCGGAGAUGGACACUGAGAUAAGGGUCCAGGCCCUACGGGGCGCAGCAGUCGCGAAACCUCCGCAAUACGCGAAAGCGUGACGGGGCCAUCCCGAGUGCCGUCUGCUGAGGACGGCUUUUCCCCAGUGUAGACAGCUGGGGGAAUAAGGGGAGGGCAAGUCGGGUGUCAGCCGCCGCGGUAAUACCCGCUCCCCGAGUGGUGGGGACGCUUAUUGGGCCUAAAGCAUCCGUAGCCGGCUGGGCAAGUCCCCUGUUAAAUCCAGCGAUUCAAUCGCUGGACUGCGGGGGAUACUGUCCAGCUAGGGGGCGGGAGAGGCCGACGGUAUUCUCGGGGUAGGGGUGAAAUCUUAUAAUCCCGGGAGGACCACCAGUGGCGAGGGCUGUCGGCUAGAACGCGCCCGACGGUGAGGGAUGAAAGCUGGGGGAGCGAACCGGAUUAGAUACCCGGGUAGUCCCAGCUGUAAACGAUGCGGGCUAGGUGUUGGCACGGCUACAAGCCGUGUCAGUGCCGCAAGGAAGCCGUUAAGCCCGCCGCCUGGGGAGUACGGCCGCAAGGCUGAAAAUUAAAGGAAUUGGCGGGGGAGCACCACAAGGGGUGAAGCUUGCGGUUUAAUUGGA